GGCGGGACACGUGGUAUCCUGUCUGAAUAUGGGGGGACCAUCCUCCAAGGCUAAAUACUCCUGACUGACCGAUAGUGAACCAGUACCGUGAGGGAAAGGCGAAAAGAACCCCGGCGAGGGGAGUGAAAAAGAACCUGAAACCGUGUACGUACAAGCAGUGGGAGCACAGAGCAAUCUGUGUGACUGCGUACCUUUUGUAUAAUGGGUCAGCGACUUAUAUUCUGUAGCAAGGUUAACCGAAUAGGGGAGCCGAAGGGAAACCGAGUCUUAACUGGGCGUUAAGUUGCAGGGUAUAGACCCGAAACCCGGUGAUCUAGCCAUGGGCAGGUUGAAGGUUGGGUAACACUAACUGGAGGACCGAACCGACUAAUGUUGAAAAAUUAGCGGAUGACUUGUGGCUGGGGGUGAAAGGCCAAUCAAACCGGGAGAUAGCUGGUUCUCCCCGAAAGCUAUUUAGGUAGCGCCUCGUGAAUUCAUCUCCGGGGGUAGAGCACUGUUUCGGCAAGGGGGUCAUCCCGACUUACCAACCCGAUGCAAACUGCGAAUACCGGAGAAUGUUAUCACGGGAGACACACGGCGGGUGCUAACGUCCGUCGUGAAGAGGGAAACAACCCAGACCGCCAGCUAAGGUCCCAAAGUCAUGGUUAAGUGGGAAACGAUGUGGGAAGGCCCAGACAGCCAGGAUGUUGGCUUAGAAGCAGCCAUCAUUUAAAGAAAGCGUAAUAGCUCACUGGUCGAGUCGGCCUGCGCGGAAGAUGUAACGGGGCUAAACCAUGCACCGAAGCUGCGGCAGCGACGCUUAUGCGUUGUUGGGUA
rnacentral:rRNA from 1 species